GAAAAGUUUAAUUUUAACUUUAAAAUUUGAUAUUAUUUUAAUUUAAAUGUAAAUUUUAGUAUUUUUCAUUUUUUAAUAAAAUGAAUUUUUUAUGCAUUAAAUACUAUUAAAUAUUAGAGAAAUUUAGAUUUAGUAAUAAUAUAAGUAUUAACUUAAUUUGUGCCAGCAGUUGCGGUUAUACAAAUAAUACAAUUUAAUUAUUUUAGUUUUAAUAAAUUGAUAAUUAAUAAUUUUAAAUUAAAAUUUAUUAAGUGAAAUUUUAAAUUUUAAAAAGAUUAAUAUUUGUUAAUGAUUAUUUAAGAAAUUUUAGAUAUAAACUAGGAUUAGAUACCCUAUUAUUUAAAAUGUAAUUUUAAAAACUAAAUUAGUAUUAGUUAUGUUCUUGAAAAUUAAAGAUUUUGGCGGUAUUUUAGUCUAUUCAGAGGAACCUGUUCUAUAAUUGAUAAUCCACGAUUUAAUUUACUUUUUUUAUAUUAGUUUGUAUAUCAUCGUUGUUAGAAUAUUUUAUAAGAAUUUUAAUAUUCAAAAUUUAUGAUAAUAAAAAAAAUCAGAUCAAGGUGCAGUUUAUAAAAAAGAAGAAAUGGGUUACUAUAAUUAAAAUUUAAGAUAAUUAUUAUUAUAAUAAUUUGAAUAAGGAUUUGAUAGUAAUUUUAAUUAAUUUAUUAAAAUGAUUUUGGCUCUAAAAUAUGUACAUAUCGCCCGUCGCUUUCAUUAUAAUGUGAAAUAAGUCGUAACAAAGUAGAUUUACUGGAAAGUGAAUCUAGAGACAG
rnacentral:ncRNA from 1 species